AGAACCAGAGGAGAUUGAAGACCACCAAAUUGUAAUUGGUGCCGCGGRUCGCCUUCCAUCAAGGACAGAGUCACCUUCCUCUGGAGGAGAACAGAGUCCUCGGAGAGGAACCGCUGCUUGUGAGUCUGCUGCGAGAACUGGGUCUUCCUCAAACUGUCAAUAAUGUGUCGAGGAGGAGGGAAACCAGGAGCGUCCUCCUCGCUGCUGAUGGAUACGCUCACACCUCAGAGAAGUAAACAGCAUCGAUUCCYUCCCACUAUCACCUCUAACUCGCUCCCAGCCUCCAUCCAAUAAGCUCCUUUAUGACUAAUCACACCCAUUUACAGGACUGAUACAAGGCAAUUUUUUUUAUUUAUUUCCAGGAGCGAGCCUCAAGCUGUCAGGCCCACUGUGUCAGUAUUGAAAUGUUUCAGGCUGUCACAUCUCGCUACUUCCUUUGCUCUAAUGUGAUCGAUCUGAGCAGCCUCAGAGCCGUUUCUCUAUACCGAGCACUUUUACUGUAACAUUUCAGGCCCAGUUGACCCCCCUCCCCCCCAACACCCAAGGCCAUUAAAUUGGGGAGAAGAAGAAAAAACUAAACCUCAAGUGGAUUUCUGAGGAAGGUCCGUCCCCGAGCUAACAGGCACAUUAAUGACAGGAAUUGUACGCGUCAGUACCACCGGAGAGCCAAAGGAUUAAAUAAUGUGCAUGUAAUAGUCAGAUCUGAGGUCCUGGCCUUGAUGUGCAGAGAACAUGUGCAGAACUACUCUAAUGGUGAAAAGGAAAGAAACCGUUCUGAGACUUCUGCCUCUGCAGACAGGUCAGGGGAUAUUUUAUUUUUUUAUUUUUCUUUUCAUGGAAACCAUCUUUAAUUGCAAUUUUAAAAAAUCUAUCUACUUAAAACACAUUUUUUUAAAGCUGGAAAGAGUUUGGUUGAAAUCAGUUAAGGAUAAUAAAGAAUACAGUCUUUUUUCAUGGUGAGGUUUUUGACCAUGCACGGACUUUUGCUGAAAAAAAUAAUAUGUUUAAAGGCUUGGCAUUUCUUGAAGGGAUGCACAUUGCCAAAACACUUUUUUUGGUUAGAGUUGUAGAAUAACAUUUCUUGUAACCAUUUUGGGUAUAAAUUAAUGUUAUGCUCAAUCUAAUGCAAUAUUUUUUAAUUAGUUGUAGGGAAUACUCUCUGCUAUCACCACAUCAAAUUUUAGCCCAAUAUCUGUAAAACUGACUUAGUUAGAAACAUUUUUUGUGCUGGUAUGUGUCAAUUAGCUGUUUCAACAAAAUUAAACAGGACUUAAUUCAAAACCUAAUCAGUUGCAAGUGAACAAGAAAUGAUUAUUUCCUGAAAGUUUUAUUUAAAUGCAUGUAAUGUUUCAUGAGAUAUUUUGCUAACAGACAUAGUUGACUUCAAAUAGUUAAUGGCAAAUUUUUAAGCAAAGAAUUUGCACAGUUUGUUAGCCUUCACAUUGUACUUGGUAACUGUUGCAACUAAAACCAUCCCAAAUAUCAGAUCGCUAUCUAUAAAUUUAACUAGAGAAAUUGAAUUUCCUGUGAAAAUAUGCUAGUGUGGAUGCUUCUUGCUGAAAUCAUGAGCUGAAAGUUUAAGUUUAAUGCAAGUUCAUUUGAAACAUGAAGGAAGCAUAAAAAGCUCAAACUAGCAGAAAAAAGCUCAAAAGCCGAUAAAGCAGAAAAAUAGCUAAAAUUAGCAUAAUGAAAAACUAAAGGUAGCAAACACAAUCUAAAAUUAGCUUACAGAUGGUGAACGUGGAGUAAAAAAGCAAAAUUUGCAGAAAAAA